AGCUCCAAUUGCAGUUAAAAAGCUCGUAGUUGAAUUUCUGUUGCGGCGACCAUGUGAUACUAUGUAUCUAUUGUGUUGCUUCAACAUUUUCCCAUGCACGUCACUUAGCUGUGUCUGUGUUUGGGGAGCUUUACUUUGAGAAAAAUAGAGUGUUUCAAGCAGGCUGUGCCUUGAAUACUGCAGCAUGGAAUAAUGAAAUAGACCUGCAUUCCUAUUUCGUUGGUUUUGAGGAAUGAGUGAUGAUUAAUAGGGAUAGUUGGGGGCAUUUGUAUUCGACUGUCAGAGGUGAAAUUCUUAGAUUUGUCGAAGACAAACAACUGCGAAAGCAUUUGCCAAGGAUAUUCUCA
rnacentral:rRNA from 1 species